AUUGAACGCUGGCGGCAGGCCUAACACAUGCAAGUCGAGCGAGCGGCGGGCGGGUGCGUACUGUCUGGGAACCUGCCUGAUUGAUGGGGAUAACUACUGGAAACGGUAUCUAAUCCCGCAUUCCAUCCGAUUUGCCCAGAUGGGAUUAGCUAGUAGGUGGGGUAACGGCUCACCUAGGCGACGAACCCUAGCUGGUCUGAGAGGAUGACCGGCCACACUGGAACUGAGACACGGUCCAGACGCCUACGGGAGGCAGCAGUGGGGAAGAUUGCACAAUGGGCGAAAGCCUGAUGCAGCCAUGCCGCGUGUGUGAAGAAGGCCUUCGGGUGGUAAAGCACUGUCAGCGGGGAGGCGGUACCCGCAGAAGAAGCACCGGCUAACUCCGUGCCAGCAGCCGCGGUAAUUC
rnacentral:rRNA from 1 species